AACGAACGCUGGCGGCAUGCCUAACACAUGCAAGUCGAACGAUACCUUCGGGUCUAGUGGCGCACGGGUGCGUAACGCGUGGGAACCUUCCCUUAGGUUCGGAAUAACUCCCCGAAAGGGGUGCUAAUACCGGAUAAUGUCUUCGGACCAAAGAUUUAUCGGCUUUGGAUGGGCUCGCGUUGGAUUAGCUAGUUGGUAGCGUAAAAGCCUACCAAGGCGACGAUCCAUAGCUGGUCUGAGAGGAUGAUCAGCCACACUGGGACUGAGACACGGCCCAGACUCCUACGGGAGGCAGCAGUGGGGAAUAUUGGACAAUGGGCGAAAGCCUGAUCCAGCAAUGCCGCGUGAGUGAUGAAGGCCUUAGGGUUGUAAAGCUCUUUUACCCGGGAUGAUAAUGACAGUACCGGGAGAAUAAGCUCCGGCUAACUACGUG
rnacentral:rRNA from 1 species